UGUCCCGCCCAGUCCCGCCGCCACGGGCGCCAGCAUGAGCUCCACGCAGUUCAACAAGGGCCCCUCGUACAGGCUGUCGACCGAGGUCAAGAGCCGGCUCCUGUCCAAGUAUGACCCACAGAAGGAGGCAGGCAGAGCUCCGAAGAUGGAUCGAGGGACUCACCGGCCUCUCCAUUGGCCCCGACUUCCAGAAGGGCCUGAAGGGCGGGAUCAUCUUAUGCACACUCAUGAACAAGCUACAGCCAGGCUCAGUCCCCAAGAUCAACUGCUCCAUGCAGAACUGGCACCAGCUGGAAAACCUUUCCAACUUCAUCAAGGCCAUGGUCAGCUACGGCAUGAACCCCGUGGACCUGUUCGAGGCCAAUGACCUGUUUGAGAGCGGGAACCUGACGCAGGUGCAGAUGUCACUUCUCGCCCUGGCGGGGAAGACCAAGACUAAGGGGCUGCAGAGAGGGGUGGACAUUGGCGUCAAGUACUCAGAGAAGCAGGAGCGGAACUUGGACGAUGCCACCAUGAAGGCCGGCCAGUGCGUCAUCAGGCUGCAGAUGGGCACCAACAAAUGUGCCAGCCAGUCGGGCAUGACCGCGUACGGCCCGAGGAGGCAUCUCUACGACCCCAAGAACCACAUCCUGCCCCCCAUGGACCACUCCACCAUCAGCCUCCAAAUGGGCACCAACAAGUGUGCCAGCCAGGUGGGCAUGACCGCUCCCGGGACGCGACAGCACAUCUACGACACCAAACUGGGAACCGACAAGUGUGAUAACUCCUCCAUGUCCCUGCAGAUGGGCUACACGCAGGGCGCCAAGCAGAGCGGCCAGGUCUUCGGCCUGGGCCGGCAGAUAUAUGACCCAAAGUACUGCCCACAAGGCACAGUGGCCGACGGGGCUCCCUCCGAUGCUGGCGACUGCCGGAGCCCGGGGGAGGCCCCUGAAUAUCCCCCUUACUACCAGGAAGAGGCGGGCUACUGAGGCUCCCAGCACACUCUCUCCCCACGCCGUCUCCCCGUCUGGGUUUCUGGGAUUUUCUGUGUUAUCUUUUUUUAUUAACCUGUUCAGUGCUGCCAAUCAGCCGAGGGUCUGUGAGUGGCUCCUGGGAUCAGGCAGCAGGACUUUCUCCCCCUUGCCUUGGUCCUUCGCAGGACUGAGCCACCGGGCUGGGAGGGGAGGGGUCAAGGCCGUAUCCUGAUGCCUGUAGGGUCAGGGUCCCUGCUGGCCCGUCCAAGCUGUGAGCCGAGCUGUGCUGGGGAGAAGAGACCUGGGCUUGGAGGGAACUGGUCCCUGAAGACUUCUGGUUGCCUCGUCUCUUCUCAUUGUGUCACCCUAUCAGUUUGUGGUUUCUGUACCCACAAAAGUUUCAGGAAGUAGUAACAAAAGAAAAAUACUUUUUUCCCCCCAAGGAAUGGGGCGGGGACAGUGGAGAGGGUGCUGGGCAAUGAAUCCCCUGGAAAGGGGGCCUGGCCAGGAUGCUGAAUGUCUCAGGCUCCCAAGUGGCUGGGUUUCCCUCCGACCCUCAGACCUGCCCCGGGGCCUGGUUGGGAAAGUGAGGCCUGUACAAGGAAGCGGAAUUCUGAGUUGUUGGGGCCAA